GACAGAGGAUGCAAGCGUUAUCCGGAAUGAUUGGGCGUAAAGCGUCUGUAGGUGGCUUUUCAAGUCCGCCGUCAAAUCCCGGGGCUCAACCCUGGACAGGCGGUGGAAACUACCAAGCUGGAGUACGGUAGGGGCAGAGGGAAUUUCCGGUGGAGCGGUGAAAUGCAUUGAGAUCGGAAAGAACACCAACGGCGAAGGCAGCUCACUGGGACGGUAUUGACGCUGAGGAGCGAAAGCGUGGGGAGCGAACAGG
rnacentral:rRNA from 1 species